CCUACGGGAGGCAGCAGUGGGGAAUUUUGGACAAUGGGCGCAAGCCUGAUCCAGCAAUGCCGCGUGCAGGAUGAAGGCCUUCGGGUUGUAAACUGCUUUUGUACGGAACGAAACGGCUUCUCCUAAUACGAGAGGCUAAUGACGGUACCGUAAGAAUAAGCACCGGCUAACUACGUGCCAGCAGCCGCGGUAAUACGUAGGGUGCAAGCGUUAAUCGGAAUUACUGGGCGUAAAGCGUGCGCAGGCGGUUAUAUAAGACAGAUGUGAAAUCCCCGGGCUCAACCUGGGACCUGCAUUUGUGACUGUAUAGCUAGAGUACGGUAGAGGGGGAUGGAAUUCCGCGUGUAGCAGUGAAAUGCGUAGAUAUGCGGAGGAACACCGAUGGCGAAGGCAAUCCCCUGGACCUGUACUGACGCUCAUGCACGAAAGCGUGGGGAGCAAACAGGAUUAGAUACCCUGGUAGUCCACGCCCUAAACGAUGUCAACUGGUUGUUGGGUCUUCACUGACUCAGUAACGAAGCUAACGCGUGAAGUUGACCGCCUGGGGAGGUACGGCCGCGAGGUAGAACGUACGAAGUAGAGUUAGACGGCGUGAGAGUUGCGACGGACGACGACGAGGGAGGAGG
rnacentral:rRNA from 1 species